AAAAUAGUAAGCUAAUUAUAAGCUAUUAGGUUCAUACCCUAAUUAUAGGUCAUUCUCUAUUUUA
rnacentral:tRNA from 1 species